UUUAUAAAUAAAUAAAAUACGUAAAUUUUUGUGCAGAAGAUAAGCUUUGAUUUUUUUUAAAGUCAACAAAAUCGGUUUCACAUUCUUUGGAAUAUCUGAAGAUGUCCUGUAAGCUUAUAAAUAAACAUAAAAGCCAAGUGAUAACUUCCCACUCAGCUUUGCUCCGACCCAUCUUUCAAGUAAGCCGCAGUUAACGAAAACUCGUUACAGCUGAUAUCGGUAACGACUUAUCAGAAACACUGAGCUGAGUGGUUUGGCAUAGCAGUGACUCACAAUUUGUGUACAUACGUAGAAUAUGCUCCGACGGAAUCGGGAUUGGAGUACGUAAUACAAUAAAAGUAAAAGUACACCGUUCAGCUGUUCAAAGAGUGAAUAGAAAUGGUAUGUAACUCACGAAGCAACCUCGUCAAGAUAUGAUAGCGUCGAUUCCGACGAAACGUUUCACGGACCACGCCUUAUUUAACCGGAUUUUGCCGUGACGAUGUCUCGUGCCCGUUCCCGCCUUCUGAGAAUGAUAUUUAGUCCCGAGAAAAAUAAUAUACAGGGGGCUGGUGCUGUUACGCUGCAUCGAAAAUCGAAAGGUUCACAUAUUGUGUCAGUAUAAAUAUAUUGGUGAACAAGAUUGGCUUUUGUCAAUAUAAAUGAUAAUAAAAAACACUUUCGACUUUU